rnacentral:rRNA from 1 species
GACGAACGCUGGCGGCGUGCUUAACACAUGCAAGUCGAACGGGAAGGCCCUCUUUUUUUGGGGUGGGUGGGGGGGCGAACGGGGGGGUAUAACUUGGGUAACCUCCCCUGUCCUUCGGGAUAACUCCGGGAAAUGGGGGCUAAUACGGGGUGUGGCUGCUGCUGCGCGUGGGGGGGUGGGAAGUUGGGGCGGUUGGGGGUGGUCUGGUGGCGGAUUAGCUUGUUGGUGGGGUGGUGGCUUACCAGGGGUUUGACGGGUAGCCGGCCUGCGAGGGGGACCGGCCACAGUGGGACUGAGAGACGGACCAGACUGCUACGGGAGGCAGCAGUGGGGAAGAUUGCACAAUGGGCGGAAGCCUGAUGCAGCAACGCCGCGUGCGGGAUGACGGCCUUCGGGUUGUAAACCGCUUUCGCCUGUGACGAAGCGUGGGUGACGGUAAUGGGUAAAGAAGCACCGGCUAACUACGUG